CUGCCCGUUGUGUUUUGUUCGAUCGCUGAGAACCACUGAGAACAGCCUGGCUCCAUCCUCUGGCACCUCCCGUCAGACACUUACACACAUUGCUGAGGCCCCCUCCCAGUCACCUCUUCCUGAGGAUAAACAGGCACAACCCCCUCAGCCUGUCCUUGUAAGAGAUUCUCCAGACCCUCAAAACAAACUUGGUAACUGUGCUGGACCUGCUCCAGGAGCUCCAUGUCUCGUGUACUGAGGAGUCCAGAACUGCCCACAAUACUCUACGUGUGGCCUCACCAUGGCAAUAUUGUCUGCUGUACCCUGCCAAAAACUCAGGAGGUAAUUUGCACAUUACCACUCCACGUUUCUCAAACAAACUGUAACAUUGUAUCUGCCAAAAUAAAAUCUGAUACAUUGAAAGCAACUGCUUCUGGAGAAUACGGACUGAAAGAUGAGGCAAACACAGCCGGACAAAAAUUCAGAAUCCUUGCAUAGACUGGAAUUCAAGAGCAUUCAAAGUACAUAGCAGCAGCAGCUAGAAUUAUUAUAAUGUAGUAACCCAAAAUCUCCUACCACUCCAGCUGUAGUCAUCCAGAAAGCAUCCUUCAGUUAUGGAGAGUUCAUCCACAGACAGUAAGUCAGAGGUUUUGAGCGCAGGUCUUCUGCCUGGGUCACCCAGGUGUCAUUUUUAGUUUACUCACAGAGAAUAUACUGAAAUGAAGCAGCUUAUUAUUUAUUCCUGAUAGAAGAACUAUAUUAUGCAUACAUGCUUUACAAGACAAGACACAGUUAUGGUUACCAGUAUUUGGUCUUCUCAAAUUAUACAAAAGCUCUCCAAUACAUCAACCAAAAUGUCUGUUUACUUAAAACCUAGAUCUGCAAUGUAAAGCUUGUAGGCAACACAGUAAAUAUCACUAACAUGUUUUUAUGUCAAAGUAUCAGAUUUAGCUGCUAAAGGACACCAAAGGGGUUCAGCAAGGUGUUGGAUCAACCUUUACAGUUUUGAAUCGAUACACAUGUGCAGAACCACCACCUCUGUCCCACCCACUCCACAGCCUUACCUGGACAAGCUGCUGUGCUCUCGCUGUAACACACUUGCAAAAUAAGAGACACCCAUGCAGAGUGGUUUUUCUGCUGGCACUAACUUUAUCAGUCAAAAGUCUGCAGUGAAAAGUUUGCAGUGAAAGAAGAAAAUUUUCCACUGAAAAUCUGAUUCCCAAAUUCCCAUCUCCUGUGCUAUGAAGGAUGCAGAUUUAUGUUCCAGACAAACCUUAAUAAUAUUAUUAAUAUUCUGGACCUUCCAGCUGCCUAUACAUACAUACAUCUUGUCUGGGGUUAUUUCACUUCUAAUGACUUCAGAAGUUUUAAUAUAUGGGAGGGAAAAAAUCCUUUAUAUAGUUUACAUUUUCUUAGCUUUAAUUAUUAAUUAUGAUUAACCUUUUAAAAUUAAUUAAUUAAUAACCUUUUUUCCUCCCAUCCUUUCUAAAUUCUCUCAUCCCUCCCUAUUUCUAACGAAAAGCAGAAUCAUUUUAUGAGACUGUUUAUUCCAACAAACUCUUUUGCAUAUGUGGCUUGGGAUCUAUAUCAGUUACUUUCAAAAAUUAUCGGUAAAGUUGUGAUAUAGUAUGUUAGUUCUGGCAUUUUAACUAACAGUAAGAGCUUAGUAAUAAUUUUAUAAACUGGAAUAAAUAAUUCUUUGUAUAAUCA
ensembl:lncRNA